UACGUAGGGUGCAAGCGUUAAUCGGAAUUACUGGGCGUAAAGCGUACGCAGGCGGCUUUGCAAGACAGGUGUGAAAUCCCCGGGCCUAACCUGGGAACUGCAUUUGUGACUGCAUCGCUAGAGUCUGUCAGAGGGGGGUGGAAUUCCACGUGUAGCAGUGAAAUGCGUAGAGAUGUGGAAGAACACCGAUGGCGAAGGCAGCCCCCUGGGAUGAGACUGACGCUCAUGUAUGAAAGCGUGGGGAGCAAACAGG
rnacentral:rRNA from 1 species